CAUGGAGCCAAUCAAGGACAAUUUAUCUUGAGAACAGAAAAGGUUAAAGGUAGGAGUUUCCUGGUCUUUCUGCCCAAGGGCAGAAAGUGAAAGUCUGGCCAGUGUACAGGGCAGACCAGACUGCUGAGGAGCUGAUGUCCCAGGAGUACCCCUCACAGAUGACAGAAGGUACCCUUUGCGGCUGUGUCCUUCCCACUGUCUCAGAGGGUCCCCAGGAGAAGGAGCACCAGGGACCCAUAGCAGUAACGUUUAUAGCAGUGCCAACACCUUCGUGAGCUUUUUCUCUUCCUCUCCCA
rnacentral:lncRNA from 10 species